rnacentral:rRNA from 1 species
AACGAACGCUGGCGGCAUGCCUAACACAUGCAAGUCGAACGAGACCUUCGGGUCUAGUGGCGCACGGGUGCGUAACGCGUGGGAACCUGCCCUUAGGUUCGGAAUAACUCCCAGAAAGGGGUGCUAAUACCGGAUAAUGUCUUCGGACCAAAGAUUUAUCGCCUUUGGAUGGGCCCGCGUUGGAUUAGCUAGUUGGUAGGGUAAAAGCCUACCAAGGCGACGAUCCAUAGCUGGUCUGAGAGGAUGAUCAGCCACACUGGGACUGAGACACGGCCCAGACUCCGACGGGAGGCAGCAGUGGGGAAUAUUGGACGAUGGGCGAAAGCCUGAUCCAGCAAUGCCGCGUGAGUGAUGAAGGCCUUAGGGUUGUAAAGCUCUUUUACCCGGGAUGAUAAUGACAGUACCGGGAGAAUAAGCUCCGGCUAACUCCGUG